GGGGAUUUAGCUCAGUGGUAGAGCGUUUGCCUAGCAAGCACAAGGCUCUAGGUUCAGUCCUCA
rnacentral:tRNA from 1 species